rnacentral:rRNA from 1 species
UACGGGGGGGGCAAGCGUUGUUCGGAAUUAUUGGGCGUAAAGGGAGCGUAGGCGGUGUGGCAAGUCUGGUGUGAAAUCUCCGAGCUUAACUCGGAGCGGUCAUCAGAAACUGCCAUGCUAGAGUGUGGGAGAGGAGAGUGGAAUUCCCGGUGUAGCGGUGAAAUGCGUAGAUAUCGGGGGGAACACCAGUGGCGAAGGCGGCUCUCUGGACCACAACUGACGCUGAGGCUCGAAAGCUAGGGGAGCAAACAGG